AGUGAACGCUGGCGGUAGGCCUAACACAUGCAAGUCGAACGGCAGCACAGUAAGAUCUUGCUCUUACGGGUGGCGAGUGGCGGACGGGUGAGGAAUACAUCGGAAUCUACUUUUUCGUGGGGGAUAACGUAGGGAAACUUACGCUAAUACCUCAUACGACCUACGGGUGAAAGCAGGGGAUCUUCUGACCUUGCGCGAUUGAAUGAGCCGAUGUCGGAUUAGCUAGUUGGCUGGGUAAAGGCCCACCAAGGCGACGAUCCGUAGCUGGUCUGAGAGGAUGAUCAGCCACACUGGAACGGAGACACGGUCCAGACUCCUACGGGAGGCAGCAGUGGGGAAUAUUGGACAAUGGGCGCAAGCAUGAUCCAGCAAUACCGCGUGGGUGAAGAAGGCCUUCGGGUUGUAAAGCCCUUUUGUUGGGAAAGAAAAGCAGCAGGUUAAUACCACGCUGUUCUGACGGUACCCAAAGAAUAAGCACCGGCUAACUUCGUG
rnacentral:rRNA from 1 species